rnacentral:rRNA from 1 species
GACGAACGCUGGCGGCGCGCCUAACACAUGCAAGUCGAACGGAGCUUAGAGAGCUUGCUUUUAAGCUUAGUGGCGAACGGGUGAGUAACGCGUGAGUAACCUGCCCUGGAGUGGGGGACAACAGUUGGAAACGACUGCUAAUACCGCAUAAGCCCACGGUACCGCAUGGUACAGUGUGAAAAACUCCGGUGGUGUGAGAUGGACCCGCGUCUGAUUAGCUAGUUGGCAGGGUAACGGCCUACCAAGGCGACGAUCAGUAGCCGACCUGAGAGGGUGACCGGCCACAUUGGGACUGAGACACGGCCCAGGACUCCUACGGGAGGCAGCAGUGGGAAU